rnacentral:sRNA from 1 species
GCCGGGCGUAGUGGCACAUGCCUGUAAUCCCAGUGGCUCAGGAGGCUGAGGCAAGAGGAUCGAGAGUUCAAAGCCAAUCUCAGCAAAAUAGUGAGGCCCUUAGCAACUUAGUGAGACCCUGUCUCUA